UACGGAGGGUGCAAGCAUUAAUCGGAUUUAUUGGGUGUAAAGAGCGCGUAGGCGGAUUGGCAAGUCAGAUGUGAAAUUUCGAAGCUCAACUUCGAAGCUGCAUUUGAAACUACUAAUCUUGAGGGUAGACGGAGAAAACGGAAUUCCACGUGUAGCGGUGAAAUGCGUAGAUAUGUGGAAGAACACCGGUGGCGAAGGCGGUUUUCUAGUUUAUUCCUGACGCUGAGGCGCGAGAGCAAGGGUAGCAAACAGG
rnacentral:rRNA from 1 species